AUACUUCCCCGACAGAGGAGAUACCAUGAUCACAAAGGCGGUUUUCCCAGAGCGAGGCUUACCCAUUGCAUAUGGGAUGUGCUGAUCCCUGGGUUCCCCAGAUGUGGGAAACUCCACUGCAUAAUAUGUGGUAGUGGGAGACCACGUCUGCACUCUCCCC
rnacentral:snRNA from 1 species